rnacentral:tRNA from 1 species
GAGGAGAGGUUAAACCAACGAGAACUGCUAAUUCUCGCAUCUGGGCUUAAAAUCCCAGUCCCCUUA